GGAUUAGACCCUGAUUAGAAGAGAGAAA
rnacentral:piRNA from 1 species